rnacentral:sRNA from 1 species
CUGAGCUCCUAGACCAGGGGUGGGCCCUGCUAGGAGUGGGCCUGAGCCUCGCACGUCCUCUGAAACUACGCUAUGCUCUGCCUUUGCGGCGCGACGGGCGUGGGAGCGGGGGCUGCCCAAAGGUGGGCUGGGGUUGGAGGAAGUGGCCCGGUAGCCGCUGUGUGUCCUGAGGCCGUAAGGCGCCUGACCCCACCCUUGAAGCUGACAGAGCAGGGCCCGUUUUCUCUACACAAUAGUCAUGAUCCGCUGGGCCCCCAGCGCAUCUCCUGGAAGAGCCCAAUCAUCCUGGACGAGCUCUUCGGUAGCCUCAGACCGUCCUUGAAGAGGAUGACUGAGACAUUAUGGGCCACGCGCUGUGUGUCUGCUCUCGGGGAACUGUCAUCAUUGACAAUAAGCGCUACCUCUUCAUCCAGAAACUGGGGGAGGGCGGGUUCAGCUAUGUGGACCUAGUGGAAGGGUUACAUGAUGGACACUUCUACGCCCUGAAGCGAAUCCUGUGUCACGAGCAGCAGGACCGGGAGGAGGCCCAGCGAGAAGCCGACAUGCAUCGCCUCUUCAAUCAUCCCAACAUCCUUCGCCUGGUGGCUUACUGUCUGAGGGAACGGGGUGCUAAGCAUGAGGCCUGGCUGCUGCUACCAUUCUUCAAGGGACUUGAAGCCCACCAAUAUAUUGCUCGGAGAUGAGGGGCAGCCAGUUUUAAUGGACUUGGGUUCCAUGAAUCAAGCAUGCAUCCAUGUGGAGGGCUCCCGCCAGGCUCUGACCCUGCAGGUAAAAGAGUCUCCAGGCUCCUUUUCUCACCUGUUCCCCAUUCCCACCCCUUCUGGUGCAUGUCCCAGUUUGGUCAUAUGACCAUGACCUGUGCCC